GACGAACGCUGGCGGCGUGCUUAACACAUGCCAGUCGAACGGAAAGGCCCUGCUUUUGUGGGGUGCUCGAGUGGCGAACGGGUGAGUAACACGUGAGUAACCUGCCCUUGACUUUGGGAUAACUUCAGGAAACUGGGGCUAAUACCGGAUAGGAGCUCCUGCUGCAUGGUGGGGGUUGGAAAGUUUCGGCGGGUGGGGAUGGACUCGCGGCUUAUCAGCUUGUUGGUGGGGUAGUGGCUUACCAAGGCUUUGACGGGUAGCCGGCCUGAGAGGGUGACCGGCCACAUUGGGACUGAGAUACGGCCCAGACUCCUACGGGAGGCAGCAGUGGGGAAUAUUGCACAAUUGGCGGAAGCCUGAUGCAGCAACGCCGCGUGCGGGAUGACGGCCUUCGGGUUGUAAACCGCUUUCGCCUGUGACGAAGCGUGAGUGACGGUAAUGGGUAAAGAAGCACCGGCUAACUACGUG
rnacentral:rRNA from 1 species